AGUGAACGCUGGCGGUAGGCCUAACACAUGCCAGUCGAACGGCAGCACAGUAAGAGCUUGCUCUUACGGGUGGCGAGUGGCGGACGGGUGAGGAAUACAUCGGAAUCUACUUUUUCGUGGGGGAUAACGUAGGGAAACUUACGCUAAUACCGCAUACGACCUACGGGUGAAAGCAGGGGAUCUUCGGACCUUGCGCGAUUGAAUGAGCCGAUGUCGGAUUAGCUAGUUGGGGGGGUAAAGGCCCACCAAGGCGACGAUCCGCAGCUGGUCUGAGAGGAUGAUCGGCCACACUGGAACUGAGCCACGGUCCAGACUCCUACGGGAGGCAGCAGUGGGGAAUAUUGGACAAUGGGCGCAAGCCUGAUCCAGCCAUACCGCGUGGGUGAAGAAGGCCUUCGGGUUGUAAAGCCCUUUUGUUGGGAAAGAAAAGCAGCAGGUUAAUACCCCGCUGUUCUGACGGUACCCAAAGAAUAAGCACUGGCUAACUUCGUG
rnacentral:rRNA from 1 species